GACAGAGGGUGCGAACGUUGUUCGGAAUUACUGGGCGUAAAGCGCGUGUAGGCGGCCAUGUAAGUCGGGCGUGAAAUCCCACGGCUCAACCGUGGAAGUGCACCCGAAACUGCGUGGCUAGAGUCCUGGAGAGGAAGGUGGAAUGCUUGGUGUAGAGGUGAAAUUCGUAGAUAUCAAGCGGAACACCGGUGGCGAAGGCGGCCUUCUGGACAGUGACUGACGCUGAGACGCGAAAGCGUGGGGAGCAAACAGG
rnacentral:rRNA from 1 species